rnacentral:miRNA from 1 species
CUAUGUUUAACUCUAUGGUAUCUAUAUGUGUAUCUAUAUGUGUGUAUGCAUAUACAUACACACAUACACAUACAUACAUACACACAUAUAC